rnacentral:rRNA from 1 species
GGCUCAGGAUGAACGCUAGCGGCAGGCUUAAUACAUGCAAGUCGAACGGAAAUCCGCCUUCAGGCGGGAUCGAGUGGCGCACGGGUGCGUAACACGUAUGCAACCUACCCUUAACUGGGGAAUAACCCUGUGAAAGCGGGGCUAAUACCCCAUAACAUUAUGGUAAGGCAUCUUACUAUUAUCAAAGAUUUAUCGGUUAGGGAUGGGCAUGCACCCCAUUAGUUAGUUGGUUAGGUAACGGCUAACCAAGACUGUGAUGGGUAGGGGUUCUGAGAGGAUUAUCCCCCACACUGGUACUGAGACACGGACCAGACUCCUACGGGAGGCAGCAGUAAGGAAUAUUGGGCAAUGGACGCAAGUCUGACCCAGCCAUGCCGCGUGCAGGAUGACGGCCUUAUGGGUUGUAAACUGCUUUUGUAUGGGAUUAAAGUGUUGUACGUGUACGACAUUGCAAGUACCAUACGAAUAAGCAUCGGCUAACUCCGUGCCAGCAGCCGCGGUAAUACGGAGGAUGCAAGCGUUAUCCGGAAUCAUUGGGUUUAAAGGGUGCGUAGGUUGAUUAUUAAGUCAGUGGUGAAAAUUCCGGGCUCAACCCGGGACUUGCCGUUGAAACUGAUAAUCUUGAGUGUAACUGAUGUGGGCGGAAUGUGUCAAGUAGCGGUGAAAUGCAUAGAUAUGACACAGAACACCGAUAGCGAAGGCAGCUCACAAAAUUACAACUGACACUGAGGCACGAAAGCGUGGGUAUCAAACAGGAUUAGAUACCCUGGUAGUCCACGCUGUAAACGAUGAUCACUAGCUGUUUGCGAUACAUUGUAAGUGGUUAAGCGAAAGCGAUAAGUGAUCCACCUGGGGAGUACGUCGGCAACGAUGAAACUCA